rnacentral:rRNA from 1 species
GACGAACGCUGGCGGCGUGCUUAACACAUGCAAGUCGAACGAAGUGGCGAACGGGAGAGUAAUACGUGGGUAACUGCCCUCCUUUUUGGGAUAAGCCUAGGCAACGGGGUCUAAUACCGUAUAAGGGGGAUGGGUGCGCGGCCUAUCAGCUUGUUGGUGGGGUGAUGGCCUACCAAGGCGGUGACGGGUAGCCGGCCUGAGGGGGGACCGGCGACAUUGGGCUGAGGGACGGAGCAAUCGCCAACGGGAGGCAGCAGUGGGAAGUAUGACCGAAUGGCGCAAACCGUGAUGCAGAAGCGCCGCGUGCGGGAUGCCGGCCUUUGGGUUGUAAACCGCUUUCAGCCAUGACGCGGUAGUGGCAGAAGAAGCACCGGCUAACUACGUGCCAGCAGCCGCGGUAAUUC